rnacentral:tRNA from 1 species
CAGAAAAUAGUUUAUAUUAUUAAAACAUUAAAUUUGGGGUUUAAAGAAAUAGUUUCUGA